rnacentral:rRNA from 1 species
GAUGAACGCUAGCGGCAGGCUUAACACAUGCAAGUCGAGGGGUAUUGGUUUUCGGACCAAGAGACCGGCGCACGGGUGCGUAACGCGUAUGCAAUCUACCUUUUGCAGAGGGAUAGCCCCAGAGAAAUUUGGAUUAAUACCUCAUAGUAUAGUACUUUGGCAUCAAGGAACUAUAAAGUCACAACGGCAAAAGAUGAGCAUGCGUCCCAUUAGCUAGUUGGUAAGGUAACGGCUUACCAAGGCUACGAUGGUAGGGUUCUGAGAGGGAGAUCCCCCACACUGGUACUGAGACAGGACCAGACUCCUACGGGAGGCAGCAGUGAGGAUAUGGACGAAUGGGCGCG